rnacentral:rRNA from 1 species
GAUGAACGCUGGCGGCGUGCCUAAUACAUGCAAGUCGAGCGAACAGAUGAGGAGCUUGCUCCUCUGACGUUAGCGGCGGACGGGUUAGUAACACGUGGAUAACCUACCUAUAAGACUGGGAUAACUUCGGGAAACCGGAGCUAAUACCGGAUAAUAUAUUGAACCGCAUGGUUCAAUAGUGAAAGACGGUUUUGCUGUCACUUAUAGAUGGAUCCGCGCCGCAUUAGCUAGUUGGUAAGGUAACGGCUUACCAAGGCAACGAUGCGUAGCCGACCUGAGAGGGUGAUCGGCCACACUGGAACUGAGACACGGUCCAGACUCCUACGGGAGGCAGCAGUAGGGAAUCUUCCGCAAUGGGCGAAAGCCUGACGGAGAAACGCCGCGUGAGUGAUGAAGGUCUUCGGAUCGUAAAACUCUGUUAUUAGGGAAGAACAAAUGUGUAAGUAACUAUGCACGUCUUGACGGUACCUAAUCAGAAAGCCACGGCUAACUACGUG